UUACCUCUUUGCGAUUCAUGACGGGGGUGAAGUCGUAACAAGGUAACCGUAGGGGAACCUGCGGUUGGAUCACCUCCUUACCUGAAAGAA
rnacentral:rRNA from 1 species